GGAGGGAUCAUUAGCGAGACGUAGUGCUCCAACCAUUGUGAAUCGUACCUUUAGAAGGCGUUGUUUCGGCGGGUUUGCCCUGGCGCUUGCGCCUGGUCAUCCUGCCUGGCCAGCAGGGCCCGCCGGCAGCGUCAAACUCUUAGUUUUAGUGGAAGUCUUCUGAGUGGAAAACAAACAAGCAAAACUUUCAACAACGGAUCUCUUGGCUCUGGCAUCGAUGAAGAACGCAGCGAAAUGCGAUACGUAAUGCGAAUUGCAGAAUUCAGUGAGUCAUCGAAUCUUUGAACGCACAUUGCGCCCGGUGGUAUUCUGCCGGGCAUGCCUGUUCGAGCGUCAUUUCUUCCCUCAGGCCCUGCCAUUUAGGUGGUGUGGGUGCUGGUGUUGGGGCAUGUGGGCCACCGCAGCCUCUAAAUUCAUCGGCGUACCCCCGUGCGCUGCCCUUUGCUUAGUGGUUUAUCUCUCGCAUCGGGCCGCCUCGGGUGCUGCCGCAACCAUCAUUAUUUUUUUCAAGUUUGACCUCGAAUCAGGUAGGGUUACCCGCUGAACUUAAGCAUAUCAAUAAGCGGAGGAAAAGAAACCAACAGGGAUUGCCCUAGUAACGGCGAGUGAAGCGGCAACAGCUCAAAUUUGAAAUCUGGCGCUUGCGCCCGAGUUGUAAUUGGAAGAGGUUUUUCCUGGCAAGGUGCCUACCAAGUUCCCUGGAACGGGACGCCAUAGCAGGUGAGAGCCCUGUUCGGUUGGUUACCGCGCCGCUGUGGAAAGCCUUCGACGAGUCGAGUAGUUUGGGAAUGCUGCUCUAAAUGGGAGGUAAACUCCUUCUAAAGCUAAAUAUUGGCCAGAGACCGAUAGCGCACAAGUAGAGUGAUCGAAAGAUGAAAAGUACUUUGAAAAGAGAGUCAAACAGCACGUGAAAUUGUUGAAAGGGAAGCGCUUGUGACCAGACUUGGACUUGGUGGUUCAGCCGUCCUUUUGGGCGGUGCACUCCGCCAGUUCAGGCCAGCAUCAGUUGCCGGUUGGGGAGAAAUGCAGUGGGAACGUAGCUCUUCGGAGUGUUAUAUCCCGCUGUUAUGCCUUUCUGGCGACUGAGGUUAGCGUUCGCACGGAUGCUGGCGUAAUGGUCAUUAGCGACCCGUCUUGAAACACGGACCAAGGAGUCAUCGUAAUAUGCGAGUGUUUGGGUGUUAAACCCCUACGCGAAAUGAAAGUGAACGGAGGUGAGAGCUUCGGCGCAUCAUCGACCGAUCCUGAUGUUCUCGGAUGGAUUUGAGUAAGAGCAUAUUGCGCUGGACCCGAAAGAAGGUGAACUAUGCUUGGAUAGGGCAAAGCCAGAGGAAACUCUGGUGGAGGCUCGCAGCGGUUCUGACGUGCAAAUCGAUCGUCAAAUCUGAGCAUGGGGGCGAAAGACUAAUCGAACCUUCUAGUAGCUGGUUUCCGC
rnacentral:misc_RNA from 1 species